GACGAACGCUGGCGGCGUGCUUAACACAUGCCAGUCGAACGGAAAGGCCCUGCUUUUGUGUGGUGCUCGAGUGGCGAACGGGUGAGUAACACGUGAGUAACCUGCCCUUGACUUUGGGAUAACUUCAGGAAACUGGGGCUAAUACCGGAUAGGAGCUCCUGCUGCAUGGUGGGGGUUGGAAAGUUUCGGCGGAUGGGGAUGGACUCGCGGCUUAUCAGCUUGUUGGUGGGGUAGUGGCUUACCAAGGCUUUGACGGGUAGCCGGCCUGAGAGGGUGACCGGCCACAUUGGGACUGAGAUACGGACCAGACUCCUACGGGAGGCAGCAGUGGGGAAUCUUGCACAAUGGGCGGAAGCCUGAUGCAGCAACGCCGCGUGCGGGAUGACGGCCUUCGGGUUGUAAACCGCUUUCGCCUGUGACGAAGCGUGAGUGACGGUAAUGGGUAAAGAAGCACCGGCUAACUACGUG
rnacentral:rRNA from 1 species